UGUUCAGAGUCAGAAUAAUGUGUCAAGGUAAGGUGACAUGUCUCUCUGAGAACUAGUGUAAGAGAUAAAUUGUCUGGUCAGACAAAUAUAACUAGUAUAAAAAGUCCAUGGAUACAGAAUUUACUAAUAUAUUUAGUCCGAUGUCAGUAAUUUAUGUCCCCAGACUAAUUUUCCUAGUCCAUGACAUCACUAUUCCUAGGUAAAAAUGUCCAGUUUUUCUAAUACUGUAUGCAACAUGUCAAGUAUAUUUGGUGUAUGAAAAUUUUUAAGGAUGUACAUGUUAGUCUGGCAUGUUUUAUUCGACCUUGACCUCAUUUUUAUGGUUCAUUGCUCAAUGUUAUUUUAUUGUUUUUUGGUCAGUUUUUCUAUUUUCUUAUUUUCAAAUUAGCAAUAGGUCAACUAUAUUUGGUGUAUGGAAUGAUUGUAAGGUGCAUAUGUCUGACUGAGAAGUUUCAUCUUACCUUGACUUUAUUUUCAUAGUACAUUGGACAAUGUUUAGUUUUUGUGGUUUUUUUCGGAUACUGUAAGCAAAAACAUGAAUAAGGCCCCUAUAUUUGGUGAAUGGAAUGAUUGUGAGAUGCACAUGUCUGUCUGGCAUGUUUUAUAUGACCUUGACCUCAUUUUCAUGGUUCAUUGGUCAAUGAAAAGUUUGCAUUGUUUUGUCAGUUUAUCAUAUGCUUUAAGCAACAAGUAAAUUAUAUUUGGCGGAUGUAACGAUUGUAAGGUGUUCAUGUCUGUCUGGCAGAUUCAUAUAACCAUGAUCGCAUUUUAUGGUUCUUUGGUCAAUGCUAAGUUUUCUUGGUUUUUUAUACGACCGCAAAAAAUUGGUAUGACGUUGGCGUUGUCGUGGUCCGAAGACAUAUUGGUUUUCGCACUCUAAAUUUAGUUUAAGUGAAUGGAUCUCUAUGAAAUUUUACCAUAAGGACUGAUUUUGGGGGUUAUGGUACCAACAGUUAAGGGAAAAGGGACCAAAAAUAAGCAUUUUUGUAACUUCCAGACAUAACUUGUGUGUUAGUGUAUGGAUCUCUCUGACAUUGUACCACAAGGUUCCAUAUCACACAGGGAAUGCUUGGAUUGAUUUUGGGGGUAAUUGCCUCAAAAUAUAAGGAAUUAGGGGCCAAAAAAGGGGCAAAAAACAAGCAUUUUUCUAGUUUCAUGACAAUAACUUGUGUGUAAGUGUAUGGAUCUUUCUGAAAUUGUAUUACAAGGUUUCAUAUCACAAAGGGAAUGCUGGAAUUGAGUUUGGGGGUAAUUGCCCAAAAUGUUUAGGAAUAAGGGGCCAAAAAGGGGCCAAAAAUAAGCAUUUUUCUAGUUUCCAGACAAUAACUUGUGUUCAAGUCUAAGGAUCUCUCUGAAAUUGUACUGCAAGGUACCAUACCACAAAGGGAAGGCUGGGAUUGAUUUUGGGGGCAAUUGCUUUAAAAUUGUAGGAAUAAGGGGCCAAAGAAGGGGCAAAAAACAAGAAUUCUUCUAGUUUCAUGACAAUAACUUGUGUGUAAGUGUAUGGAUCUUUCUGAAAUUGUACUACAAGGUUCCAUAUCACAAAGGGAAAGCUGGGUUUGAGUUUGGGGGUAAUUGCCCUAAACGUUUAGGAAUUUGGGGCCAAAAAAACAAGCAUUUUUCUAGUUUCCAGACAAUAACUUGUGUAUAAGUGUAUGGAUCUUUCUGAAAUUGUACUGCAAGGUACCAUACCACAAAGGGAAGGCUGGGAUUGAGUUUGGGGUGAUGAAUCAUAAGGGGGUUCAAAAAAUUUUUGGGGGGGGGGAUUUUUUUUCCUUUUUUUUUCUUUAAAAUUUUCCAUUUUAAAUUGGUUAUUUCUGAUUUAUAUAUAAAAGCAAAUAAUAAUGAUAUGGUUUGAAUAGGUAAAUUAAAAUUUUUAAGUUCUUAGACCACAUUCAUUCUGUGUCAGAAACCUAUGCUGUGUCAAAUAUUUAAUCACAAUCCAAAUUCAGAGCUGUAUCAAGCUUGAAUGUUGUGUCCAUACUUGCCCCAACUGUUCAGGGUUCGACCUCUGCGGUCGUAUCAAGCUGCGCCCAGCGGAGCAUUUUAUUCAUUUUAUCAGAUAUUAUAAGCAUAUGUCUACUUGUUGGUGUAUGGAAUGACUGCAAGGUGUCAUAUAAAAAUAAGAAGAUGUCUGUCUGCCAAGUUUAAUAUUACUGAGACCUUAUUUUCAUAGAAUAUUGAUAAUAUCAAGCAAAAAUGAUGAGCAAGACAAGAUACAAAUGAUCCAAAAUUGUCAGUUGCCUACUCAUUAUGUAAUAGUAGUUAUUGUCAUCAAAUGAUAAUGUUUACCCUUUUAUGUGUAGGGCAAGAACAUUAAAGAUAAAGGGAAACUAUAAACAAAAGAAAUUAUCAACAAAAAUAGAUUUACAGACGUCAACAAAGCCUAAAUGGUCAGACAUCUUGGUUUUCAUGAUCAUCAUUCAACAGGUCAAUACUGAACAGCAAACUUAAAGUUGAUAUUUUUCUACAUAGUGUGACUUUUUUAUUAAUUUGAAAUGGAAUGUGGUUUUUUUUCCUACAUAAGAAAGAGGAAAUUUCAACAUAAUGACUAUAAACAAAAAGGAGUCAUAUCAUCAUGAUCAUAGAUGCUCAAGAACUUAAUCAUGUAAAUGCAACAACGUAAUUAUCAAUUGAAAGAAGGGAGGAAUGAAAAAAUAUAUAAGUAUUUUGUUGUCCAAAUGAACUUGCUUUGUCCACUCAUUUAAAUCGCUCCAUCCAAUAAAGAUGUACGGAGGAAGAUUUUUGAAGAACAGAUUGCAAAAAUGUUUUGUCUAAGAAUUGUAGGAACAUUCUAGUGGAUGAAAUAAUUUAUUUACUUGACUCUUAUAUAGUGGACUGAAUAAUUGUUCAUAGCAAGCUGAAACAAGAAAACUAAAACUUAACAGGAAAAGUGUUUAUUUUAUAAAUUUACAAAUAUAAAUGUAAUAUUAUGAACACCACAAAGGAAUAAGAUUCAAAUCGUUUGCAUAUUCAUGUAUUGCAAUGGAACUAUAACAAAGAAAACUUUACCUCAUGAAAAGAGUAAACUAUUAACUGUACUUUGUCAAUUUAUUCAGUCAGAAUAUGAAAUAUUUUUUUCAGUUCUAUUUUUCAUAAUAAAACAAAGAAGACAAAGAU